CCUAGGGUGGCAGCAGUGGGGAAUAUUGGACAAUGGGCGAAAGCCUGAUCCAGCCAUGCCGCGUGUGUGAAGAAGGCCUUCGGGUUGUAAAGCACUUUCAGUGGGGAAGAAAGCCUUGGGGCUAAUACCCUCGAGGAAGGACAUCACCCACAGAAGAAGCACCGGCUAACUCCGUGCCAGCAGCCGCGGUAAUACGGAGGGUGCGAGCGUUAAUCGGAAUUACUGGGCGUAAAGCGCGCGUAGGCGGUCUGAUAAGCCGGUUGUGAAAGCCCCGGGCUCAACCUGGGAACGGCAUCCGGAACUGUCAGGCUAGAGUGCAGUAGAGGAAGGUAGAAUUCCCGGUGUAGCGGUGAAAUGCGUAGAGAUCGGGAGGAAUACCAGUGGCGAAGGCGGCCUUCUGGACUGACACUGACGCUGAGGUGCGAAAGCGUGGGUAGCAAACAGGAUUAGAUACCCGAGUAGUC
rnacentral:rRNA from 1 species